rnacentral:rRNA from 1 species
GCCUACGGGGGGCAGCAGUGGGGAAUAUUGCGCAAUGGGCGAAAGCCUGACGCAGCGACGCCGCGUGAGGGAUGAAGGUCUUCGGAUCGUAAACCUCUGUCAGCAGGGAAGAACGGUCACUGUGUUAAUCAGCAGUGAAUUGACGGUACCUGCAAAGGAAGCACCGGCUAACUCCGUGCCAGCAGCCGCGGUAAUACGGAGGGUGCGAGCGUUAAUCGGAAUUACUGGGCGUAAAGCGCUCGUAGGUGGUAUGUCAAGUCAAGGGUGAAAUCCCCGCGCUCAACGCGGGAACUGCCUUUGAAACU